UCCUACGGGAGGCAGCAGUGAGGAAUAUUGGUCAAUGGGAGAGAUCCUGAACCAGCCAAGCCGCGUGAGGGAAGACGGCCCUAUGGGUUGUAAACCUCUUUUGUCGGAGAACAAAACCCGGGACGUGUCCCGGACUGCGUGUAUCCGAAGAAAAAGCAUCGGCUAACUCCGUGCCAGCAGCCGCGGUAAUACGGAGGAUGCGAGCGUUAUCCGGAUUUAUUGGGUUUAAAGGGAGCGUAGAUGGGUUGUUAAGUCAGUUGUGAAAGUUUGCGGCUCAACCGUAAAAUUGCAAUUGAUACUGGCGU
rnacentral:rRNA from 1 species